CACAGAAGGCAUACUGAAUGCCCACCAUGGUGUCAUGGAGCAUCAGUAUAAGGGUUAAUAGUAAUUCAUAAGUCUCUAUUUUUCCCGCCUUUUGUGUUCUAAUGAAUGUUCAUUUUACAUUUUCUGAGGUGAUUCUAAUUCUGCAUUUUGAUUGGUACCUGGUUGCCUACCUGUUGCUGAGGUACCUGUUCUCUGCCUGUUCCUGAUUGGUGAUUGAGAUUUCUGGGCGGGAAAUUCGAAUAUUUAAGGAAGGUCGCAUCAGGUCCGGAGCUUGUCCGCCGCGGAGCCUGGAAGAAGAGGACGUCGUCGCCUGAAGCCCUAGGAAGUGCCGGCCUAGCUGCAAAAGAGCUAUUGGGCUUCGCCGGCAUUACUAGGCGGAAUUUGACAAGCGGCAGUGAAGUAGUGGCGGCGGAGGAGCAGCGGUGGUGAAGCGGCGUAUGAGCAGUGAGUCAGCGCUGCUGUGAAGAAUAAAGCGGCGCUGAGUUCCUGAGGUGAGGGCCGCCCUAAAAGCUGAAGAGCAGAAGAUUUUGAAGAAGGGCCGAAGUUUAAAGGCAACAGUAAAGAACUCACCGGUCGGAUGGAAGAGCUCCUGAGGAAGUUGAUUCAGCGCGCCGAGUCAAGUGGCGGGGAGGCGUGGCUUCAACGAUGCCUGGCUGACGGAGUGUCAGUUGAAGAUGAAGAGGCGGGACUUCAGGACGUCGCGGUGCGCAGUGACGUCACAGGUCAAGCGACUGCGUCUGGAUCGUCAUCAAGAGGCGCUUCCCAUAGCGCUGAAGCUCGGGUGUCCAAGCGGAUCAAAAGGCCAAGGAGGGCUUAUUCACCAGCGGAAGCAAGAAGCCGGAAAGGUGGCAAUGUGCGCUCCUCCCCUAGAUGUGCGGUAUCGCAGCCUGGGGUUUUGAGUAGAGCGCAAUUGCCGGCCUCCAGUGCCCCCAGCAUGGACCCGGGACCGGAGAAUGGUGAGGAGACAUGUAGGCAGAGCUUGUCUUUGCCUACCAACAUGGGUACUCAAGAUAAUAAGUUAUUGCUUAGCUUAGCAAGUUUAUUUUCAGAAUGGGCUUCAGCUAGUGUGCCUGUUUCUGUAGAUCAGCCUGCAGCAGUGUGGAAGGAUAUUCCAGCUGAUGCAGGAGCUGAUAUUUUGAAUGUUAAUAAAUCAGUGAGUACAGUAACCUUAGAUAAUGGUAUUGGUAUAAGUGAAACUUGUUUAAAAGAAGCUUUGACAUGUGACGGCUCACCAUUGGGGUUUCACUUGUCUCAAUCUGUAAAGGAAAAAAUUUGGAGAAGGGAAUAUAUUGAUAUUUUAUCAUUGCUCCCUUCUGCCAAAGAACCUUUUAAAAGUGAGAAGAAAGCGUUUGAAAAAGAGGAAGAAAGGAAAAGGAUUGCGCCAAGAUCUUUUAAUAAUUGGUUGCAAGCCUUUUUUAUUUACGCUUCUGUGUUUUGUGCGAAACAUCCACAGAGUUGUGUUGGUUUGUUUCAACAUAUGGAUUCCAUUUUAGAGGCUUACCGUAAUUUUGGCGGCCUCGCAUGGUUUACAUAUGAUGAAACUUUUCGCCAGAAGUUAGCAGUACACACUAAUAUGAUUUGGGGUUCUAAAGAUGUGGGUCUUUGGCUUAGCUUGAUGUUGCCACAGAAAAGUGGUUUUCAAGCUAGGCCAAUUAAUUCAAUGGUGUCUGGUGCUGUUAGUAAAAAAGGUUUUUGCUUUGCAUAUAAUGAAUCGGCAUGUAGAUGGCUGAGCAAUUGUAGAUAUAAACACGAAUGUUCAUUUUGUUCAGGUGCACACCCCAUGUUUCGGUGUUUUAAAAAAGCUAAUCAGUCCAUGUUACAAAAUCAACCCAAUAGAGAUUUUUCAAAAAGCUCAGACACCAGUGAAUUGGGUAAGAAUGCUUCCAUGGCUAGAUCUAUUUCCAGACCGUCUGAAGGCGGAGUUAAUCCUUAGAGGUUUUGUUUGUGGUUUUUAUGUUCCUAAAUUUACUGGCAAGGGUUGUUUAGUUCAUGAUAAUUUGCCCUCAGUUAAUAAGCAUUUAGAUAUUGUUGAAGUUAAGAUUCUGAAAGAAUUGCAUGAGGGUAGGAUAGCUGGUCCUUUUCCUUUUCCACCUUUUUCUGACUUUAGGGUCUCUCCUUUGGGAAUUGUUCCAAAGAAGAAUCCUAAUGAAUUUAGACUGAUUCAUCAUUUAUCGUACCCGGUUAAAGAAUCGUUGAAUGAUUCUUUGGAUAAGGAAAUAGCUUCUGUAGCCUAUACAUCCUUUGACGAUGCAGUUUCUUUAAUAUGUUCAGUAGGGAAAGGGUGUUUUAUGGCAAAGGCAGAUAUUAAAGCUGCAUUUCGUUUGUUACCUGUGGAUCCGUGGGAAAGAUUCUUUUAUCUAGUACCGCAGGCAGAGAAAGUGGGAAUUCCGUGUCCAGAACGGGUUUGGAAUCUUAUCCGGAAUUAAUCAGCAAGUUUAUUCAGAAGUCAUUAGCACCCCGCACAUGGGAAAGUUAUUCAUUGGCUUGGAAGAGGUGGUAUCAAUUUUGCUUAGUUAGGAAUGUUUCGUGUUUUUUAUUCGAUUUAGAUGUAUUUUUUCAAUUUCUCUGUUCAUUAUUAGAUAAAGGUGUUGGUUAUUCAGUUUUACACUUGACUGUUUCAGGGGUGUCAUUCUUUUUUAAACUGGCUGGUUGUCAGCCAUUUUCUAACCAAUUUGUAGUGAAACAAUUUUUGAAAGGGGUUAAAAGAUCAUUUAGAAGGAUUGACUCCAGAAGACCAAUCACUUUUGAGUUGCUUGGUUCCUUGGUGUCAGUAUUGGAGAAGUGUACAUUUUCAAAGUUUGAGGCAAUUCUUUUUAAGGUAGCUUUUGUGGUAACAUUUUUUGGGGCACUUCGGGUAGGAGAGCUAGCCGCGGCUAAUAAAAAGUCGUUUUCACCACUGGAAGUUAGUGAUAUUAAUUUGUAUAAUAAUUCAGUAGGAAUUUUUAUUAAAAAAUCUAAAACAGACCAGUUUGCAAAAGGGUCAUGGAUCAGGUUAGCAAUGUUAACUGAGUCACCAUUGUGCCCGGUCAAGACGGUUAGUGAUUAUUUUGACAUUAGACCCCAGAGAGAUGGUUCUUUUUUAAUUCACGAAGAUGGUUCUGUUUUGACAAUAUAUCAAUUUAACGCUAUUUUGAAAAAGUGUCUGGUAUUGUUAAACUUAUCUAAAGAAAAUUAUUCGUCUCAUUCAUUUCGGAUUGGUGCGGCAACAGUUGCCGCUAGUUUGGGAUUGAAUGAGGCAGUAAUUAAAAAAAUUGGUCGUUGGGAAUCUGACAGAUUUAAGUUGUAUAUUAGACCUAAUCUGGUGCUCUAAUUUUAUUUGAUAUUUUUCAGGUCCAGAGGAAAUGGUCAUAUGGAUUCUGGGCCAUUCUUUCGUGUUUUGGGCAGAAAGAAGGGCUGCGGAGCGUAAUUAUUUGCAAAAAAGUUUUAUUGGUGCUUUUUUUGUUUCCAUAGUUUGGUUAGGUUUUAGAGGUUUGAAAUGGUACCAGAUCAUUCCGAUACUGAAAAAUGAAUUGAGGUCAUUACCACAGCCUGAUGUAUUAAUAAUUCAUGCUGGGGGUAAUGACUUGGGAAAAAUUAAAACGUUGGAUCUGAUGGAGCACAUGAAAUCGGAUCUGUUUCAGAUUAAAUCAUUAAUCCCGGAGGUAAUUUUAAUUUUUUCCGAAAUUAUACCAAGAUUAAUUUGGAAAAGUGAUCAGUAUGGUUUUAUGGAGAAAAUUAGAAAAAGGGUUAACAGAAGUUUAGAGAAAUUUCUUCCUAGUCUAAAUGGUUGGUCAAUAAGGCAUACCGAGCUUGAGGGUUUUAUUGCAGGUCUAUAUCGGAAUGAUUUGGUCCAUUUGUCGGAUAUAGGGCUGGAUAUUUUCAAUUCAGGUCUACAGGACAUGAUUGAUAAGGCCGUGGUUUUUAGGGGGGGACAUGUGGGAUAAAUCCCUCAUGUCUGGUGGGUUAGUCACCCAGCUUUGCUGGGGGGACAAUUGUGGAUUUAAUGAAUUUUA